rnacentral:lncRNA from 1 species
CCAUUGUCGUCAAAUGGUGGUCUUCCAUUGCCAUUGUCGUUAACUAGUCUCCAUUUUUUUAUUCACUAUAGGUUUGUUAUUCACUAUAGGUUUGUUAUUCACUAUAGGUUUGUUAUUCACUAUAGGUUUUUCAUUCACUAUAGGUUUUUCAUUCACUAUAGGUUUUUCAUUCACUAUAGGUUUUCAUUCACUAUAGGUUUGUUAUUCACUAUAGGUUUUUCAUUCACUAUAGGUUUUUCAUUCACUAUAGGUUUUUCAUUCACUAUAGGUUUUUCAUUCACUAUAGGUCUCGAUUCUGUACGCACUAUAUGAUCCACAAUUCCAUGAUCUUUGGCUUCUUUUGCUGACAUAAAAUUAUCUCUUUCCAUGUCUUUG